rnacentral:lncRNA from 1 species
AACUUUCUCAUUAUCAUCCAAAAAAGUCAUGAAGAUACUGUUAUUUGAUUUUAGUUAUUUCUAGACAAUGUAAAUAACUGUGAGAUCUAUCCUACAGUAUUGUCGUAGAUCAUACAGACAAAGCUUUGAUACAGGGGAGGAUCUAAAGGUGUGAGUAUGGUUCCUGGGAACCCAGUAGCUUUUGGCUAGAUCCCGUAUUUGUAUUAAGAAAAUCAUUCAAUGUAUAAGAAUAUUUAGUUGGGAACCCAGUUCUUUAAUCUGGUUAUUAUAAUAUAUUAAUUUAAAAUCAAUGUAGGAACCCAUAAACUAAAAAUCCUAGAUCCGCCUCUGCUUUGAUAUAAGUAGGUCAAAAAAAAUUAUCAGUAAAAAUAUCACUGAAAUGAAGCAGAACGAUAAAGCGGAUGUUACACUCUAACCUAUUAGACUUUAGAACCAACUGUAUUGCAGCAUUUGGCGAAAACACCAUGAGUAAAUGGCUAAAUGCCCUAUGAAAUCUGCUCCGUUCCUCUUCAACUGUGACCUAAAAAUCAAUUUUUAAAAUAAAAAAUUCAAUCUGAAGUAGAUAUAUGCUAGAGUUUGAAAAGCUCUGAUUUGCACCUAUUUUAAUCCGCACGGAAAUGUGUUUAAAAUGGAUAUAUACUAUCAAUAAAGCACUAAAGAUCCAUCAAAACAUUAAAACAAAUUAUUGAUUAGAACAAAUUAUUGUCUUUCUCAUACCAUCAGUAAGUACCACAUCAAUGGCACUGCCAAAAUAUUAUCAUCAUACACUCUCUACCUCAAUUAUGAAAGUGAAAGUUCAUGAUCCGUUAGAUCUUCAACUCUAUACAACAAUUUUAAAAUAAACAGUAUUCCAAAUGUCAUAAAUCCUAUAGAUGCUCAACAAAAGAGUACAAGUCCACAUGCCUCCGAAGAUAUGAGUGACUUGUAAUAAAAUUAAUAGAUCCAGCAAAUUAUCAAACACAUAAGACAUGAUAUGUUUGUCGAUUACACACUUAUUACCCAUUCAACACAACACACAUGUAUAAUUCUGAAGCUCAGAAUAACAAAAUUGCAAUAGUAAUCCAAUGGCAUAAGGUAGCCCGAUGCACAAAGCAUCACCUGUUGUUCAUGCAGAAUCAUCAUAUAUCAUAUUUGUAGUGUUCUUCUUGGAAGUGAGUCGAAUUCAUACUGUACUCUUACCAAGUGAUAAAUUUAUUAAAUAUAAAUAAAUUUAUUGUAAUAACAGAGCUCUUUUUAGAAUAUUUAUAGAUUUACCAAGGAAUAGGGGAGGUUACAACUGCCACUAAAUAAACAAACCAAGGGGGUUAAAGCUGCCUCGAAAUAGAAUUUGCCAUAUUUUCAAGAUAUAUUGUGGAGGUUGAAACCGCCGCAAAAUAAUUGUGUAGUGGAGAUUUCAACCCCCGUUGUAUAUUUUUUUACAAGUUGCUACAUUGAUUAAAAUUUUAAUUUGUAGGGGUUAAACCGCCGGAAAAUAACCUAUGUUAAAUGAUUACGGCGGGCUGUAAAAAAUUGCCACAAUAAAUGAUAGCAGCGAACCUUACAUCUUUGGGGUUUGAAGACCGCCGUGAUAUCAAUUAAUGGGGUUGCUGACCGCCGUAAAACGUGAAAAUACCCUCCUAGGAUAUUUCUUUGUAGUGAAAAAAUAGAGUGGAAAGCCAGAGAAGAUAUUUUUCCUUCUUCAUAUUGGUUGCCACCUGCACUUGGUUAUCUCUUAAUCUAAAUGAUUCAGAGCAGACCGCAAAGGAGAAACAUCCAAUCGAUGCUCCUAUUGUUCAGUCACAGAUGAUAUCUCAUAGUGAUUUACCGGUUUCUGAAAGAGCAGAAGAAAUUGAAGAACGGCCAAAGAAGCAAAAUACAAAGAGAAGCAGAAAUGUGAUAUGCUACGUGGUCGUUCC